GAAAAAAAGAGCAAUUGAUGCAUAAUCUUUUUCAAACUAACUGAGUUACAAAAUUCUCAAAGAACAUUAAAUAUGAAAAUGAAAAUUGGGAAUAAUUAAAAUCCCAAGAGAAUAGAAAGAAAAAAGAAAACAUAGAAAUUCAAUCUUGAUCACCAACUUAAAUGAUACAAUUGAUUGGGGAAAAAAAUUAUCCAAAAGCACUCACCAUAUCUUGAUC
rnacentral:misc_RNA from 1 species